rnacentral:rRNA from 1 species
GACGAACGCUGGCGGCGUGCUUAACACAUGCAAGUCGAACGCUGAAGCUUGGUGCUUGCACUGGGUGGAUGAGUGGCGAACGGGUGAGUAAUACGUGAGUAACCUGCCCUUGACUCUGGGAUAAGCCUGGGAAACUGGGUCUAAUACUGGAUACGACAUGUCACCGCAUGGUGGUGUGUGGAAAGGGUUUUACUGGUUGUGGAUGGGCUCACGGCCUAUCAGCUUGUUGGUGGGGUAAUGGCUCACCAAGGCGACGACGGGUAGCCGGCCUGAGAGGGUGACCGGCCACACUGGGACUGAGACACGGCCCAGACUCCUACGGGAGGCAGCAGUGGGGAAUAUUGCACAAUGGGCGGAAGCCUGAUGCAGCGACGCCGCGUGAGGGAUGACGGCCUUCGGGUUGUAAACCUCUUUCAGCACGGAAGAAGCGAAAGUGACGGUACGUGCAGAAGAAGCGCCGGCUAACUACGUG